rnacentral:rRNA from 1 species
AGAGCGAACGCUGGCGGCAGGCCUAAUACAUGCAAGUCGAACGGACCCUUCGGGGUUAGUGGCGGACGGGUGAGUAACACGUGGGAACGUGCCCUUUGGUUCGGAACAACUCAGGGAAACUUGAGCUAAUACCGAAUGUGCCCUUUGGGGGAAAGAUUUAUCGCCAUUGGAGCGGCCCGCGUCUGAUUAGCUAGUUGGUGAGGUAAAGGCUCACCAAGGCGACGAUCAGUAGCUGGUCUGAGAGGAUGAUCAGCCACACUGGGACUGAGACACGGCCCAGACUCCUACGGGAGGCAGCAGUAGGGAAUCUGCGCAAUGGGCGAAAGCCUGACGCAGCCAUGCCGCGUGAAUGAUGAAGGUCUUAGGAUUGUAAAAUUCUUUCAGCGGGGACGAUAAUGACGGUACCGCAGAAGAGCCCGCUAACUCGCGCCAGCAGCCGC